rnacentral:rRNA from 1 species
AGUCGGACGGGAUCGAUCGGAGAGCUUGCUCGAAGAUGGUGAGAGUGGCGCACGGUGUGCGUAACGCGUGAGCAACGUACCUCUAUCAGGGGGAUAGCCUCUCGAAAGAGAGAUUAACACCGAAUAAUAUAUCUGAUUGAGCGAUCAGUUGGAUAUUAAAUAUUUAUAGGAGAGAGAUGGGCUCGCGUGACAUUAGCUAGUUGGUAGGGUAACGGUCUUACCAAGGCGACGAUGUCUAGGGGCUCUGAGAGGAGAAUCCCCCACACUGGUACUGAGACAGCGGACCAGACUCCUACGGGAGGCAACGGUAAGGAAUAUUGGUCAAUGGGCGGAAGCCUGAACCAACCAUGCCGCGUGCAGGAUGACUGCCCUGUGGGUUGAAAACUGCUUUUGUCCAGGAAUGAACCUAGAUACGAGUAUUUAGCUGAAUGUGCUGGAAGAAUAAUGAUCGGCUAACUCCGUGCCAGCAGCCGCGGUAAUACGGAGGAUCCGAGCGUUAUCCGGAUUUAUUGGGUUUAAAGGGUGCGUAGGCGGCCUAUUAAGUCAGGGGUGAAAUACGGUGGCUCAACCAUCGCAGUGCCUUUGAUACUGAUGGGCUUGAAUCCAUUUGAAGUGGCGGAAUAAGACAAGUAGCGGUGAAAUGCAUAGAUAUGUCUUAGAACUCCGAUUGCGAAGGCAGCUCACUAAGCUGGUAUUGACGCUGAUGCACUAAAGCGUGGGGAUCGAACAGGAUUAGAUACCCUGGUAGUCCACGCCCUAAACGAUGAUAACUCGAUGUUGGCGAUAGACAGCCAGCGUCUUAGCGAAAGCGUUAAGUUAUCCACCUGGGGAGUACGCCCGCAAGGGUGAAACUCAAAGGAAUUGACGGGGGCCCGCACAAGCGGAGGAGCAUGUGGUUUAAUUCGAUGAUACGCGAGGAACUUUACCCGUGCUUGAAAGUUAGUGAAGAAUGCAGAGACGCUUUCGUCCUUCGGGACACGAAACUAGGUGCUGCAUGGCUGUCGUCAGCUCGUGCCGUGAGGUGUUGGGUUAAGUCCCGCAACGAGCGCAACCCCUAUGUUUAGUUGCCAGCAUGUAAUGGUGGGGACUCUAAACAGACUGCCUGUGCAAACAGUGAGGAAGGUGGGGACGACGUCAAGUCAUCAUGGCCCUUACGUCCGGGGCUACACACGUGCUACAAUGGAUGGUACAGCGGGCAGCUACAUAGCAAUAUGAUGCUAAUCUCUAAAAGCCAUUCACAGUUCGGAUUGGGGUCUGCAACUCGACCCCAUGAAGUUGGAUUCGCUAGUAAUCGCGUAUCAGCAAUGACGCGGUGAAUACGUUCCCGGGCCUUGUACACACCGCCCGUCAAGCCAUGAAAGUUGGGGGUACGUAAAGCAUGUGACC